CGGGGCUCCGGGGACAUGGCUGAGGGGACACGGCCGCUGGAAGCGGGGCUCCGAGGACACGGCCGCAGGAAGCGGGGCUGAGGGACAUGGCUGAGGGGACACGGCCGCUGGAAGCGGGGCUCCGGGGACAUGGCUGCGGGGACACGGCCGCAGGAAGCGGGGCUCCGGGGACACGGCUGAGGGGACACGGCCGCAGGAAGCGGGGCUCCGGGGACACGGCCGCAGGAAGCGGGGCUCCGGGGACACGGCUGAGGGGACACGGCCGCAAGAAGCGGGGCUGAGGGAUAUGGCUGAGGGGACACGGCCGCAGGAAGCGGGGCUCCGGGGACAUGGCUGCGGGGACACGGCCGCAGGAAGCGGGGCUCCGGGGACACGGCUGAGGGGACACGGCCGCAGGAAGCGGGGCUGAGGGAUAUGGCUGAGGGGACACGGCCGCUGGAAGCGGGGCUCCGGGGACACGGCCGCACGUGACGCGCCCACGUCAGCCUCCGCCGGGAAGGAGCCCGCAGCCCUGCGCAGCUGAUGAGGACAAACCCUUCUUGGUUGUUGUAGCUCUCCCAGCUUUCAGCCAGCAGGCAAAAUUGUGUGUUUUGAGCCUUCAUCUCCUACUUUCUAUAUCACUCAAAUAGCAGAGAUUUUGGCAUGGUAAGUCACAGAGGGAGGUGGAAAAUCUGAUGCAAAGUGAGAUAAUGUAGUUCUUCAUUAUUAUGGCUCUUCUGUGCCCUGAUAGAAAACUUUAGAACAUGGAAGGUGCUGACAGCAGAUAAGUCACCUAGUUCCUGCUCUGCUUUAGGUAUAAAGCCUGGGGAAAGUGGAAGAAGAGAAUGCGCACCCUGGUUUUUAGGCUCAGAUUGCAGCUCAUCCUUCCUGCUAAUGCAGUGCACUGGAGGAAGUGUGGCAAACCUGGGCUGAGUUCUGCAACUUAUUUAAUAUGACUCGGUGCACAAGAUUAUGAGCGCUAAGAGUGCUCAGCCUUUGGGACAGAUUCUGAGGAAUUAAGAGAUUCUUCAUCCUGUAUUGUGUGGCAAUUAGACCUGAUUUAGGCAAUGCCGUACCUCAUACAAAAUCCACAGGGCAUAGUUUUGCUCUGGAUUGUUAUCAGGAUGUGGGAUUUUCCCUGUUUUCUCCAGCAGCAGGGCCAGGAGUUCAUGGCUCUGCAGGGUGAGAUUUGAGAGGGCCCAACUCUGUCCCUUGCUAAGAGACUUGUCCUGUCUCCCCGUCUCCCCUCCACCCCUGUUUCUGGGGAUGUAUGCUGUAGUCAGAGGCAAGUGCUGUGACUCUGGCUGCAGUGUGAAGGUGAUGUGUCUAUAAGAAAUGCAAGGCAAGCUAAAUGGACUUCCACUGCUUGCUGAUGCACAAUGAAAAGAUUCCCUUCGUGCCUUGCCCUCUGCAGCAAUGUAUGUUGCUUUCCAGUGCCAGGUACAUACCACAGCAUCAGAUGUGGCAAGUUGCUGUUUGCACGUGUGCCAUGUGGUGAGUGAGCAGCAUUCCCCCUGUUCCAGCAGCCUCCCUGGAGGACAGAAGGCUGCUUAAAAGGUCAGCUGGGUACCUGUGCAUCACAGGCGUGAAAAGCUGCCCUCUUUACGCCCUGAGGCAACAACCUGCUUUCACUUUGUGAAGCCGAGCAGAAAAGCUGGGGUCCAACAGUGGCAGGUAUCCCUGAGCACAAGACUAAGGCAGCAUGAGGGUAUAAGAAAUCCAGUUUACUUCUCAACAGGAGUAGAUGAGGUUUGGGUGGGAAAGUAAUGAGAAUGCUAAACGUUUGCUGCUAACAUUUACUAAAAUGACAGCAAAUUUCAUCUGUAUUAAUGUUCAGCUUCUGAGACCCAAUGGAUCUUACUUUGUUAAAGAAGGUAGGAAGCCUAGAAGUAUCUCUUUAAUCUGCAACUGGAAAGUACAAUUUUGAAAUCGUUUCUCUCAGGAAUGAAAUAAUCAGAGUGAUAACUGAUGUUAAACCUAUUCUGAAUGUUAUUUAAAGGAUUUCUCAGAUGGAAACAAAAGUUGAUAGGAUGGUGUCAGGUUCACAUGGACAUCAGCUUUACUUAUGCAGUUGUCCACACGAGGAAGAGAGGUUGAUCAGCAUGUAUUUUCUGGUUAUAUGGUUGUUUAGGAAUCAUCAAAAGUCAUUCAUUAUGUGAUUUUUAAAUACUUCCAUUUGUUCUUUGUUUCAACAAAAGGCUGUUGGAACUGUAUCCAUGUUAUUUUACAGGCACGGCUCUAUGCAUGAGGACUUCACCCCAAAGGGUAUCCAGUGUCCUGCAUCUUCAGCACUGAGGAGAAAAGAACUGUCUUUCCCCUUCUACUGCUGAACUGUUCCUCUUGCCACAUUUUUGAUCUCCCUUGGUCAAUCUGUGCCUGAUACCAUGUAUACAUACAUCUUAUUGUUCUCCACACUGUAAUGCUGUUCUCUUUUUUCCAAAUGUUGUUACAUUUCCUUUCUCCUUCCUAUAUUUUUCAUUUCUCUUUCGCAUUUGUAUAAUGCGUCUGCUGUCUCUGUUGUUUUUCACUUCUAAUUUAAUACCACCAGUGAAUUUGUGUGUCUCUGCAGAUCAUUAAAAAGAGGCUAUGUGGGACUGCUUGUGAAAGAAAACACUGCAUUCCCAAGAUAGGUUACAAA